rnacentral:rRNA from 1 species
UACGUAGGUGGCGAGCGUUAUCCGGAUUUAUUGGGCGUAAAGCGUGCGCAGGCGGCUUGUUAAGUCUAAGAUUAAAGCCUGGAGCUUAACUCCGGUUCGUCUUAGAAACUGGCAGGCUUGAGUAUGGUAGAGGCAAAUGGAAUUCCUAGUGUAGCGGUGGAAUGCGUAGAUAUUAGGAGGAACACCAGUGGCGAAGGCGGUUUGCUGGGCCAUCACUGACGCUCAUGCACGAAAGCGUGGGGAGCAAAUAGG